rnacentral:misc_RNA from 1 species
UAAGGAGCACCUUCACCCGAAAGGGUGCAAGGAGCCCGCGCCAUCCGAAUGUGGUGGCGGGGUGCUCAGAUGGCGGAGACACUGGUUAGUCAGAUGCCGGCAACGUCUCGGAUGUCUAGUACACGCCCUUCGGGUGCAGGAACGGCGGAAGUGAUGCGGCUGGGGUUUGGCGUAAAGCACCCUGUUGGGUCCUGAAAGAACAACCGGUGGUUGUUUCUUUCGGAGCCUUGCAGGAGCGUGAGCUCCGCGGGCAGCAUGGCCUGGCCUCGCAUACGCCGGCGGAUCGUCGGUUUGGUGUGGGGCGGAUCGGGUUGUGGGUUGGUCGUUUGUUGAGAAUUGCACAGUGGACGCGAGCAUCUUUGUGGUCAA